CUAUAAUGCCUUCAACUUUUGAACAGCCUGUUAUUUAUUUCACAGGAAGUAAGUGUGAAUUGACAAGAAACGUAAUGUAUAGGUGAGGAUUUUAUAGAAUCCAUAAUUAUUACAGAGCUAACAGAUAAAAUGAACCGUGCAACAAAAUCAACCUAAAUGGACAAAUAAACAUGGAACAUUCCAAAGAGAUUUUGAAGUUCUGCUUGAGGAUUUUAUCCCCUAAACGAGACAACACAACUUAACGUUCCUUUUUGAACCUAUAGGGCCACGAAUUUCAAACACAAC